AGGUGAUAUCUAAUACCCAAAUAUCAGAGUCUGAACUACUUAAUGAAAAAUAGAUCUGUAUCAUAUACACAACUUUCGGUGCUACACUUGCAUCCUGCUUCAACCUUGCAAGAUAAUUCUUGCAAUUAUACCCCCAAUGUUCAAAUUUACCACAAAAUGAACAGAUAAUAUCCUUAUGGAUAUCUAUUGCCUUCUCAUUAUUAUUGACCAUCCUAAAGUCAGAAAUAUCCAGAACAUCGGAGUUCUUCUCUGAUAUAAACUUAAUUUGCAAGUUUUUCAACCAAUCCACAUAGUU
rnacentral:lncRNA from 1 species